UCUAAUAUAUCAAACCCAUAGCCCAUGGGAGGGGUAAAAUCUAUAUAUUUUUUAAAGUGUAGGCUUUUUGAAUAUACAUGUGUAUACAAUUUACAUCAUUGGCACUUACAUACUGUAUGUGAAAUGGAGAUAAAUUGGCCUACUGUUAAAUCAGAAUAUAAUUGGUCCCUUUGGUAGUGUUUUCCAUAUGUGAGUCUGUAAAUAUGAUAAAUUGGAUAAUGGACUCACUCAUAUUGAAGAUGUCUUAUCAAGUAGAUAGCCGUUUAUGGGGGUGAUUGGCAAUUUUCUUCAAAUGGAUCCUUUAAAUGGAUGCCAAAAAAUGUAUUUGCAUUCAGUCUGACCUUUUGCAGUCACAGACUAGCUUCUGAUCCACUCUUAUACUGAACAAAAAUAUAAAUGCAACUUUUUUUUAUUUAACUAGGCAAAUCAGUGAAAAACAAAUUAUUAUUUACAAUGACGGCCUACCCCGCCAAACCCGGAUGACGCUGGACCAAUUGUGCGCCGCCCUAUGGGACUCCCAAUCACACCCGGAUGUGAUGCAGCCAGGAUUCAAACCAGAGAAUUUGGAAGUACGUCCGACCGGCCUUAACUGCAGACCACACGUUACCACGCCAGCCCAGGACUUCCACAUCCAGCUUCUUCACCUGCAGGAUUGUCUGAGACCAGCCAACUGGACAUUUGGAGUAUUUCUUUCUGUAAUAAAUCCUUUUGUGGGGAAAAACUCA